CAGAUUAAAGUUUAUUUAAAAUAUUUCAUUUACAUUGAAAAGAAAUUGGUUUAUAUCAUUUAAUUUGA
rnacentral:tRNA from 1 species